CAGUCGUACUUAUGGGUAAUCAGCCUUUUGGGUGUGAUUUUGUGGAGUGUGAGGAGUUAAACGCCUUCAUGCCUGCAUAUUCGUGCACUUUGGGUGUACUUGCCCGUGUGUAAGUUAACAUCAAUUUUGGUGGUCAUAAAAUGGCUGGAGGAAUGUAGCUUCGAUCUCGUAUUGAAGUGUUAUAGCCUUCGGUAGAUGUGAUGAUCGGGAUUGGGGAUUGCAACAGAUACCCUUCGGGGCUACCUGUCUGGUCUCUGAUCGUUGCUCUGGUGCCGAAAGCGUGCUUACGGUC
rnacentral:rRNA from 1 species